rnacentral:rRNA from 1 species
GUAGGUGGCAAGCGUUGUCCGGAAUUAUUGGGCGUAAAGCGCGCGCAGGCGGUCCUUUAAGUCUGAUGUGAAAGCCCACGGCUCAACCGUGGAGGGUCAUUGGAAACUGGGGGACUUGAGUACAGAAGAGGAAAGCGGAAUUCCAAGUGUAGCGGUGAAAUGCGUAGAGAUUUGGAGGAACACCAGUGGCGAAGGCGGCUUUCUGGUCUGUAACUGACGCUGAGGCGCGAAAGCGUGGGGAGCAAACAGGAUUAGAUACCCCGGUAGUCCACGCCGUAAACGAUGAGUGCUAAGUGUUAGGGGUUUCCCGCCCCCUUAGUGCUGCAGCUAACGCAUUAAGCACUCCGCCUGGGGGAGUACGGCCGCAAGGCUG